CCACUCGCCCCAUCUCUUUGAUAACGUCAUUAUUUUGGAAUUCGUGGUUUUCGGCCCAGUAAAACCUGUUUUGCUGGCAUCAGGCUGAUUUCCCUCACUCCCAAGGGAUCCCGUGCCCCCUCCCGGAGCCUGGCAGGCCUGGCAGUUUGCAGACCGGCAGGUGUCGAUGGUGAUCCUCCCUGACUCGUGUUCCUGCCGCACCACGUUUCAGCUCACGUAGCUUAACUGCAGCCUGGCUUUUCUGAACUUCCCUGUUGAAGACACCAACGAAGGGAAGAGAGCAGAGGGUGGGAAUUUUAAUAAAGGGAACGGGGCCCAAUUGAAGAGCUCUUUGCGCCAAUGCCUCGUGAAAGCCUGAAAGCCGUUGGGGACAGAAAGAGGAGUCGGGCCUCUUAACUCCCCCAUGUGUGAAUCGGAAGAGGGCAGGGGCGCGCAGAAGGCAGCCGUUGCAAAACCUGGCGACCAGCAAAGGGCCAGCGGACAGAGGGAUGUGAUGAACAGCUUUCCACCCCACCUGCAGAGGGCCAGGCCCCGGCCACAGCGUUCUACCGGGAGAUUUCUCCAGGCCGUGUCUCUGGGACCACCAGAAUCAGCGAGCCCGAUUCACGGAAGACCAAACACAGGAGGAAAAAGGGCCCCUCAGCUCACCAAGUGAUUGGUAACAGCACAGUGAGUAAUUUGAGCAAUAAACAUCAUGCAAACCUGGCCCGCGGUGGGACUGACGUGAUAGGGUGUUCUCUGGCUCACGCUGGCCCCACGAGAACGAGCCAGGCUCAUACAGCAAUCACUCACCCCUGCAGAGGGCACAGCUGCAGUGUCUUCGUUGGCUGUGGCAGAGGAAGACAGAGGCCUCAGGCCAGAGGAAGACGUGUCACCUGCGUUCACACUGCACUGGCCGGAGUUAGUCACGCGGGCCACCUCACUGCAAGAGGACAGAGAAC